AUGUAUGAUAAUGUUGUGACAAGUGUUCGAACAAGUGAUGUCGACACUGAUGACUUCACGAUUAAGAUAGGACUGCAUCAGGGGUCAGCUUUGAGCCCUUAUCUUUUUGCAUUGGUGAUGGAUGAGGUCACAAGGGAUAUACAAGGAGAUAUCCCAUGGUGUAUGCUCUUUGCGAAUGAUGUGGUGCUAGUUCACGAUAGUCGGGCGGGGGUAAAUAGGAAGUUAGAGUUAUGGAGACAAACCUUGGAAUCGAAAGGGUUUAGGCUUAGUAGGACUGAAACCGAGUACAUGAUGUGCGGUUUCAGUACUACUAGGUGUGAGGAGGAGGAGGUUAGCCUUGAUGGUCAGGUGGUACCUCAGAAGGACACCUUUCGGUAUUUGGGGUCAAUGCUGCAGGAGGAUGUGGGUAUUGAUGAAGAUGUGAACCAUCGGAUCAAAGCAGGAUGGAUGAAGUGGCGCCAAGCUUCUGGCAUUCUCUGUGACAAGAGAGUGCCACAAAAGCUAAAAGGCAAGUUCUACAGGACGGCGGUUUGA
rnacentral:rRNA from 1 species